rnacentral:rRNA from 1 species
UACGGGGGGGCAAGCGUUGUUCGGAAUUACUGGGCGUAAAGGGCUCGUAGGCGGCCAACUAAGUCAGACGUGAAAUCCCUCGGCUUAACCGGGGAACUGCGUCUGAUACUGGAUGGCUUGAGUUUGGGAGAGGGAUGCGGAAUUCCAGGUGUAGCGGUGAAAUGCGUAGAUAUCGGGAAGAACACCCGUGGCGAAAGGCGGUUCUCUGGGACGGUACUGGACGCUGAGACGCGAAAGCGUGGGGAGCAAACAGG